CCUACGGGAGGCAGCAGUGAGGAAUAUUGGUCAAUGGACGAGAGUCUGAACCAGCCAAGUAGCGUGAAGGAUGACUGCCCUAUGGGUUGUAAACUUCUUUUAUAAAGGAAUAAAACGAGGCACGUGUGCCUUUUUGCAUGUACUUUAUGAAUAAGGAUCGGCUAACUCCGUGCCAGCAGCCGCGGUAAUACGGAGGAUCCGAGCGUUAUCCGGGUUUAUUGGGGUUAAAGGGAGCGGAGAUGGGUUGUUAAGUCAGUUGUUAAAGUUUGGGGCUCAACCGUAAAAUUGCAAUUGAUACUGGCAGUCUUGAGUACAGUUGAGGUAGGCGGAAUUCGUGGUGUAGCGGUGAAAUGCUUAGAUAUCACGAAGAACCCCGAUUGCGAAGGCAGCUUACUAAACUGUUACUGACAUUGAUGCUCGAAAGUGUGGGUAUCAAACAGGAUUAGAUACCCCUGUAGUC
rnacentral:rRNA from 1 species